CUAGCUGGAAGGCCUUCCCAGGAAUGCAAGUCUGAACCAUCUAGAGUUCUCUCAGCCAGAAUGAAGGCUCAGCUCUUGGAUGUUUCUACCAUAAAAAUGAGAAAGCAUUUCCUACCUCCUCCUCUGUCACUCCACAAAGAUGUGCUUCCUGUGUGGCUGGCUAGCAGAUAAGAGAAGAACCGUGUGCUAACUCCUCAUCAAAGACCAGAAGUAGAUCCUGAAUUGUAUUCAUUCUCAUCUCUUUCUACCUCCUCCAAGACAGAAGGACAUGAUUAACUUCUUUAUCUCAAUGUCAGCCUUCAAUAGCUACAAAAGUCUAAACUGUAAAUAGCGUUGAAGCUUUGCAUAAUAAAAUUCUUUUCCCCAGUGAUGGGCAGUUUUUCACAUAGUAA
ensembl:lncRNA novel transcript